rnacentral:rRNA from 1 species
GAUGAACGCUGGCGGCGUGCCUAAUACAUGCAAGUCGAGCGAACAGAUGAGGAUCUUGCUCCUCUGACGUUAGCGGCGGACGGGUGAGUAACACGUGGAUAACCUACCUAUAAGACUGGGAUAACUUCGGGAAACCGGAGCUAAUACCGGAUAAUAUAUUGAACCGCAUGGUUCAAUAGUGAAAGACGGUUUUGCUGUCACUUAUAGAUGGAUCCGCGCCGCAUUAGCUAGUUGGUAAGGUAACGGCUUACCAAGGCAACGAUGCGUAGCCGACCUGAGAGGGUGAUCGGCCACACUGGAACUGAGACACGGUCCAGACUCCUACGGGAGGCAGCAGUAGGGAAUCUUCCGCAAUGGGAGAAAGCCUGACGGAGCAACGCCGCGUGAGUGAUGAAGGUCUUCGGAUCGUAAAACUCUGUUAUUAGGGAAGAACAAAUGUGUAAGUAACUAUGCACGUCUUGACGGUACCUAAUCAGAAAGCCACGGCUAACUACGUG